GGACUACCGGGGUAUCUAAUCCCGUUCGCUCCCCUGGCUUUCGCACCUCAGCGUCAGUCGCUCGCCAGGACACUGCCUUCGCCUUCGGUGUUCCUCCGGAUCUCUACGCAUUUCACCACUCCACCCGGAAUUCCGUGUCCCUCUCGAGCCCUCAAGUCGAACCGUCUUUCGCAUCCUCGGGAAGUUAAGCCUCCCGCUGUCACACAAAACGCGUCCGACCGCCUGCAUGCCCUUUACGCCCAGUAACUCCGGACAACGCUCGCCCCCUACGUAUUACCGCGGCGGCUGGCAC
rnacentral:rRNA from 1 species